rnacentral:rRNA from 1 species
UACAGAGGGUGCAAGCGUUGCUCGGAAUUAUUGGGCGUAAAGGGUAGGUAGGUGGUCUCAUUUGUCUGGGGUGAAAUCCUUGGGCUUAACCCAAGAAGUGCCCCAGAAACGGUGAGACUGGAGUCCUGGAGAGGGUCGUGGAAUUCCCGGUGUAGCGGUGAAAUGCGUAGAGAUCGGGAGGAACACCAGAGGCGAAGGCGGCGACCUGGACAGCGACUGACACUCAACUGCGAAAGCGUGGGGAGCAAACAGG